GGUCAUAUAGCUCAGUGGUAGAGCAUCUGCUUUGGAUGCAGAAAAUCCCAGGUUUAAUUUCCUCAUCUCUAGGUAAGGCUG